rnacentral:lncRNA from 1 species
GCCGUCCCCCGGGAGGGCCGGGGCGGGCCCGGCCUGGGGCGCUCGGGCCCUCGGCCCUGAGGGGGGCCGGGCCGGCUCUGGAUCAGCGGGAGGAUGUGCUGGGAAUCGAAUUUGCUUCGGAAGGCACCGCCAAGCGCAUCUAAAUUCUUGCUUUCCGAUUCUGCAGCAAAGAACACGUCUGACUCCUCGGCCUCAGGGACAUUGUCAGUACUUUCCGUAGUGCUGUCCGGGAAUGGGAACAGCUGGUGGAGCUCUGGCAAAACACCUGGAGACCAGCCCUCUGCUUCCCAGAGACAGUGCUUUAGGAAAGCCCCUCCAGCCUGGGAAGGAGCUUUUGGCUCCAGACACGUUCCCAGUGCCCAGGAGCAGCAGGACCUGUGCUGUUCCCAGCAGGACAGGAAAAACCACUUAACUCAUCCCAUCUUUGCCCAAAGCUUUGGUGUUUGUGCAGCCAAACCCAACGGGCUCCAGCCUGCACUGGAGGGCCCCUGGUCCUGCCCGUGGUGUGGGAUGCUGGAAUUGCCUCCCUGGAUGUGCACUGAGCUCUUGCUGCAGGGAACUGCCAGGCCUUAAUGGUGGUGAGUUCAUGUUCUUCUCACUGGGGAAUUGGAAAUAAUUAUUAAUUAGUAAUUGCAGAAAUGUUUUCUGAAACCUUUCCUCUUUGCUGGUAGAUCUUCUCUUUCUGCCUUGGAAAUUACAGCUGUUCCCUGCUGUCCUUUGCCCUGCCUGAAUUCCCUGCAGCUCCACUGGGAAAACCUGGGAUAACUCAGAGGGAACAGAGGUGACAUUUUUAGCUGAAAACCUGGGGCAGUUGAGAGGGGACACAAGAACUGUUUGUGUAGGAAAAUGAGAGAGGAUGUCAAGGGGAGCAAGGUGGCAUUUUUGAGGGAAAAGCUGAGGUGAUGAUUAGGGGAGAGAAUGCAAAUUUUUGGAGUAGAAAAGAGCUAAUCAGUAUUGUACUGGAAGGAAAAUUUUG